ensembl:lncRNA
GGGACAGACUCCUGCGACAUCCGUGGUAGCAACAGACGUGUGCAGAUCAACAAUGGAUAAUAUGGAGUGAUGGAGAGAGUACGACAAUGCAGCGUUUAAAGCGUGGAAGUAAUCACAUUACUUUCAGUAAAAAGUGACACAAACAUUAGCGUCUGCUGUUCACUCUGCGUGGGAAGAAAACCUCUUUCUACAGCGAAAAAUUCAACUUCAAAUCUAAGCGAGCAGCGAGCACGCUGCCACGGGAACGUGACAUUAACAGAGAAACCCCCGGAUCCUCCCACUGACAUGACCGCUGUGGGCAAACCUAGACCCGCCCCACUCCUGCUAAACACAGACAACAGAUUUAAGAGCCGCUGAGUCUUUGAUUCUAUUCAUUUUUACUGUGUUUUACUUGCAUCUAUUUGAAAGAGUGUAAACACAAAACAUGAUUUUAUUUUAUAUGCUGGAAUAUGCAGAACAUAGGUUUAAAUGUUAAACACAUUUCUUCAAGUCAAAGACUAUUGAUAACAUUUAAUGUUUGAUGCAUAAAGAUAAAAGAGUAAAACUCAUAAAACAAGUGUUGAUUACAUUUUAUAUGAUGGAUUAUGCAUAAAAAGUAGAAUUGGGCUGAAAGGUCUGUUGCUACAUUCAGGUUGUGUAUCAUGUUUUCAAAAAGUAACUAAGUAAUAAAGUAACUAAUUACUAUUUUCAAGUAACUUAACCAACACUGGUUAGAAAUGUGUAUUGUUUAUGUGUUUGCAAUAAAUCAAAUCAUUCUUGCUUUUUUAUGUAGAAGCAGAUGCACAGCUGUUCAUCGAGCUCAGCACCUUUGACUGAGGUGCUGAGCCAGCUGUUGUACAGUGAUAUUACUGCAGUAGCACGGCUCUCCAUAGUCUCUGCUCUUAUGCUGAACAUUUUCCUCAUGUCAAGGCUGCCCAACCUUCCAACCUACUACUGAAAACUAAAAAAAAAUAGCCUUGGGUUUCUCACUAAUCAGCACAUGCUGUAAUAAGUGCAUUGAAAGGCUAAAUGGAAACAAAAACUGGUGACUUCAAAGCCUCCCCUAUGUACCCCCCCCCCCCCCCCCCCCCCUUUAGCAAACACUACGGGGAACUGUAAGGAGUAAGUUGAAUUUGAGACUUGAAUUUGCCCAGCUCCCCUUUCUUAAUAAUCGAGCUGUAAGAGCCUGAGCUGGAGCCAUCUGUGUGGUGCCCUCAAAAAUAAUGAGGCAGCACUGUUAGGAUUUCAGGUCAUUAUAUUAGUUUUAGUGAUGGAUGGAAAUGGAUUUUUGCUAAGCAGUACUGAAUGGGGCAAAGCUGAGCCAUAAUUAAAAAAUAACAAGUACUGUAGAAGAGAAUGACUAUGAAUGUUAAAUCUGUUUUUCUGGUUUCACAUCAGGAAUAUUUAGAAGCGUGAAUUAACUGCUCUGAAUAGACUAAUAGAUAGAUGCAUCCUGUAAGAGCAACAUGUGUGAAGAUGUUUUGAGGAUGCGUUUCCAUGGCAGCAGAGUCAAGUGCUGAUGGUGAGGCUUUGCUGCCUCUGUGCAUUUAACAUGGAGAGUUUCAGCUUUUGCAAACUGUAUUUAACCAUCUUUCCAUCUAUCUUCUUCUGUCUAACUAACACAGGAUCAUGGGGUGGCGGCCUGGAUCCCAUCCCAGCUGCAACAGGAGAUUUUCUGUCUCACUUCCACCAUCCUCACCUCCAUUUUCCCGAGCAAGAAGAGGAGAGCAUGAGUAAGAAAGCACCCUCUACACCUGGAACCUCUGGCAAAUGAGUAGGUGGAGGUUUAGGAUAGCCAGGAGCCAGAGUUGCUCGUGGAUCCAUCGUGGAUGAUGGUGGGCUGCCACAGAGCAUGAAGAAGAGAAGAAGGGAGGCAAAAUAAAUUUUGGCUCAAAGCUCCAGGAGCAAAAACAGAAAAAGUACUAACCAUAGUCCCACAACGAUUUCUGCACAGAAACCUUGAGCAGCCAUCUUUUUAGAUAGUUAUUACAUGCUGUGUAAAUAAAUCUUAUCAACUGCACUAAAAUACACAUAAAUACCGUGC